UACUUAAUGAAUGAUCAUUAUAAGAUGCUCGUUGAAUCAUUUGAAGACGAAUGAAGUUCGGUUUUGUCUCCAUGGCCUACAUUCAUAUGAGAAGUGUUUCCAUCUUCAUCUUCAUUGUUGCUAUCUUCAUUUUUCAGUUUCUUUUCAUUACCGCAGAUCAAAGCGGGAACUACAGAAUCGACCGAACUGAUCCAAGAAGGCCACCAGCACCAAAGGGAAGCACUCCUCGUAGCAUGAAACCUGACUCACCACCACCACCUGUUUACACUUAAGUUUAUGUUCACAUAUUUCAAAAUUCAUAUUAUGUUUGAUAAGUUAACUAGGAUGAUCCCGCCGCGUUGCGGCUGAUGAAGUAUGCUUUAUUAUGCUGCAUAAUACAUUACGUCCCUAAUCAUGGCUGCCGUGGUUGAUUCGAGCGGAUUUACCACCGCCGUCGUUCGUCAGUGACCACCGGAGUGAAGCUGUA